rnacentral:rRNA from 1 species
GACGAACGCUGGCGGCGUGCUUAACACAUGCAAGUCGAACGCUGAAGCCCGCUUGCGGGUGGAUGAGUGGCGAACGGGUGAGUAACACGUGAGUAACCUGCCCUUCACUUUGGGAUAACCUUCGGAAACGGGGGCUAAUACUGGAUAUGACUCAUGGCCGCAUGGUUGUGGGUGGAAAGAUUCUUUGGUGGGGGAUGGGCUCGCGGCCUAUCAGCUUGUUGGUGGGGUGAUGGCCUACCAAGGCGACGACGGGUAGCCGGCCUGAGAGGGCGACCGGCCACACUGGGACUGAGACACGGCCCAGACUCCUACGGGAGGCAGCAGUGGGGAAUAUUGCACAAUGGGCGCAAGCCUGAUGCAGCGACGCCGCGUGGGGGAUGACGGCC